rnacentral:rRNA from 1 species
GACGAACGCUGGCGGCGUGCCUAAUACAUGCAAGUUGAGCGAUGAAGAUUGGUGCUUGCACCAAUUUGAAGAGCAGCGAACGGGUGAGUAACGCGUGGGGAAUCUGCCUUUGAGCGGGGGACAACAUUUGGAAACGAAUGCUAAUACCGCAUAACAACUUUAAACAUAAGUUUUAAGUUUGAAAGAUGCAAUUGCAUCACUCAAAGAUGAUCCCGCGUUGUAUUAGCUAGUUGGUGAGGUAAAGGCUCACCAAGGCGAUGAUACAUAGCCGACCUGAGAGGGUGAUCGGCCACAUUGGGACUGAGACACGGCCCAAACUCCUACGGGAGGCAGCAGUAGGGAAUCUUCGGCAAUGGACGAAAGUCUGACCGAGCAACGCCGCGUGAGUGAAGAAGGUUUUCGGAUCGUAAAACUCUGUUGGUAGAGAAGAACGUUGGUGAGAGUAGAAAGCUCAUCAAGUGACGGUAACUACCCAGAAAGGGACGGCUAACUACGUG